rnacentral:rRNA from 1 species
GACGAACGCUGGCGGUGUGCUUAACACAUGCAAGUCGAACGGUAAGGCCCUUUCGGGGGUACACGAGUGGCGAACGGGUGAGUAACACGUGAGUAACCUGCCCUCAUCUCUGGGAUAACAGUCGGAAACGGUUGCUAAUACUGGAUAUGAGCUUGCAAGGCAUCUUGUGGGUUGGAAAGAUUUUUUUUGGUUGGGGAUGGACUCGCGGCCUAUCAGCUUGUUGGUGAGGUAGUGGCUCACCAAGGCUUCGACGGGUAGCCGGCCUGAGAGGGCGACCGGCCACAUUGGGACUGAGAUACGGCCCAAACUCCUACGGGAGGCAGCAGUGGGGAAUAUUGCACAAUGGACGGGAGUCUGAUGCAGCAACGCCGCGUGCGGGAUGACGGCCUUCGGGUUGUAAACCGCUUUCAAUUGUGACGAAGCUUUUUUGUGACGGUAGCAGUAGAAGAAGCACCGGCUAACUACGUG